rnacentral:rRNA from 1 species
UCUGAGAAACAAGUUAAUAAACUAAAACUUUCAACAACGGAUCUCUUGGUUCUGGCAUCGAUGAAGAACGCAGCGAAAUGCGAUAAGUAAUGUGAAUUGCAGAAUUCAGUGAAUCAUCGAAUCUUUGAACGCACAUUGCGCCCCUUGGUAUUCCGAGGG